GAUGAACGCUGGCGGCGUGCUUAACACAUGCAAGUCGAACGGUGAAGGCGGAGCUUGCUCUGCUGGAUCAGUGGCGAACGGGUGAGUAACACGUGAGCAAUCUGCCCCGGACUCUGGGAUAAGCGCUGGAAACUGCGUCUAAUACUGGAUACGAGCUGCGAAGGCAUCUUCAGCAGCUGGAAAGAACUUCGGUCAGGGAUGAGCGCGCGGCCUAUCAGCUUGUUGGUGGGGUAGCGGCUCACCAAGGCGUCGACGGGUAGCCGGCCUGAGAGGGUGACCGGCCACACUGGGACUGAGACACGGCCCAGACUCCUACGGGAGGCAGCAGUGGGGAAUAUUGCACAAUGGGCGAAAGCCUGAUGCAGCAACGCCGCGUGAGGGACGACGGCCUUCGGGUUGUAAACCUCUUUUAGCAGGGAAGAAGCGAAAGUGACGGUACCUGCAGAAAAAGCGCCGGCUAACUACGUG
rnacentral:rRNA from 1 species